rnacentral:lncRNA from 1 species
CAAAAUAUAUUAAGCCCAUGUGUUAUAAUUAAUUAGAACUAUUCUAAAUUAAUUACUGAAUUAAGCUCUUUAAUUUGUAAGAACCUACAAGUAAAGAUUGAUGUCUAGCAAUGUGUCAUAACUAUCCAAAAGAUGUAGAAUUUUGAUAGAAUAUCAAAACAUCAUUUUGUGGUGAGUUACGAUGUAAUUUAAUCCUUCGAUCACACAGUAUCCCAAAUAAGCCAUGGGCAUGAAAUUAUGUCAAUUCUAAAUAUCUAUCUAUAUGUAU